rnacentral:rRNA from 1 species
GAUCCUAGCUCAGGAUAAACGCUAGCGGCAGGCUUAACACAUGCAAGUCGAGGGGCAGCAUAAUGGAUAGCAAUAUCUAUGGUGGCGACCGGCGCACGGGUGCGUAACGCGUAUGCAACCUACCUUUAACAGGGGGAUAACACUGAGAAAUUGGUACUAAUACCCCAUAACAUCAUGAGAGGCAUCUUUUAUGGUUGAAAAUUCCGAUGGUUAGAGAUGGGCAUGCGUUGUAUUAG